GGGAGAUAUCAGGAUCCUAGCAUUGUCAGCCUGCCACACCUGGACGCAAGCUAUAAGCAAGGAUUGGGAUCUAGAAGGAAGCUUUGCAUGGAUUAGAUAAUUCAAUAAUAUUUAUCAAAUCAAAGUUGGGAGUCAAAAGAGAAUUUGGAAGCUUUGAUCAUCAGGAAAGAAGAUGGAGUUUAUUGACCCAAUGGAAGAGAAAAGCCACUUUUCUGUAAAGUGUAAGGCGUGGUAUCCAAGGCUACUCUCUGGAGACGACCAUAGGCUUCACCUGGGAGUUGUGAGAAAUGCAAACUCUCAACCCCAUCCCAGACCCUCUGAAUCAAAAGCUGCAUUUUAAAACAUGUCCUGUGCACAUUAAGCUUUAAGAGGCAUGGUUUUAGAGCACAGGCUUUGUAUCCCUGGAAUCAAAGUUCAAGUCUUUCACUUAUCAGCUAUACAAACUUAAGCAAGACAUGCGAAGUUUUUGAGACUCACUGUUUCUGUGAAACAGGCAUAUUCAUAUACACUACCUACUAGAGUUGUGAAGUUCAAAUGAACAAAAAAGAAUAUUGGACACAAGUCAUGGUGCCUGACUUUAUACAGUAAGAGUUUAAUUGUUUGAUGCUAUUAUUUUCUGAAAUUUCCAUCUCUUCAUUCAGGAAAAAAUGUUGGUUGGACAACGGACAAUCACCUCCUAUCAAAUCCAUAAUUUGAAGAUUGACUAAGUCACCUACUUUGCAUUCAGAUGUUGAUAAUUAUCAAGCCAGCCUAGGUUAAAACAAGUUUUUUACCUUUUACAAAUAUAUUUUUUUAAGAAUUGUGUAUCUUGGGGACAAAACAUUAUAAUAAGGUUAAUGAGAAAAGGAGCAACACAAAUCUGUUUUCAUUAAUCUUAACAGAGCUUUAAUCACAGCACAGGGGGAAACAGCUGCUCUGGAAGGGAGACUAGGAGCAGAUCAGUAGAAGCUGAUUAUCCAUUAAUGAGAGGGCUUUGGUGGGGAGCCCUGUGGAAAACCCACCAGACUCAAUCCUGCCAGCCAUUUGCUGAAGAGGUGGUGUAUAUGAAUCGCUUGUUUGAUGUAAAAAAUUCAAAACAGAUUCUUCUCAGCAGCCUGGGGACUGUCAUACAUCACUGAUCUCUUAUCUGUUUAUGUUAAGGAAAUAGCAUCCUUCAGUAAGUAAAUGUGUGUGGUAUUUAAUUAAACUCAUUGCUGAGCUCUGUGUGUGUGUGGCUAGUCCUCAUUUGGGGAUUAUCGGACUGUUGCAUUUUGCCUUUUUUCUCAUUUUUUCCUUCUUCUAGCAUUUCUUCCUCCAGCUCAGAAUUGCAGGAGCUUUAUGUUAUAUGGAGUAUCAUGGGAAGUACUUUAGCAUUUUUUUUAUUGCACACAUUAUUUAGAAAAGGAAACUGAGGCUCAGAGAGCUGAAGUCACUUGUCCAAUGUCCUCUAGCUUAAAGAAUUAUAUUAUUUAAACCUAGGUUCUGGGUGGUUUCAUAGCCUAAGCUUGUAACCACUUAUGCAAUAUGUGUAUAAAGUAAAAACUAACUAUGGUAUAUUGCGGUGGUUCUCAGAGUUAGUCCCCAGACCAGCAGCAUCAGCAUUGCCUGGGGACUUGUUAGAAAUACAAAUUGUUGGGCCCUGCCACAGAUCUAUCAGAAACUUAGGAAUGCAGCCUGGGAAGCCCUCUGAGUGAUUCAAAUGGAUGCUAAAGCUUGAGAGCCAUUGGUAUUUAGUUGGUAUGCUAGGUACUAAGAAUUUAGAAAGACAAAAAAAAAAUCGGUUCUUUGAUUUUGGGGAGUUCAGAGUCUAGUAGAGAAGACUAAAAUAUAAAGACAAUUAUAAUAAUAUUUUAUUAGUGUAUUAUAAGUGCAGUGAGAUAGUAUACACAAAAAAAUAGGAAAGUGCGGAUUAAGAUACUAACCUGGGUGGGAAGUGAAAGCUUAUUGGAAAAUGUGAUGCUUAAACUGAAUCUUAAAGCAUGAGAAGUCUCUGGCUGCAGUGACAGGAGAAAGUAUUUUAGGCAGGGGGACAGCAUAAACAGAAGAUGAAAUGAACAUGAAUACUGUCUAUGAAACAGCAGUCACUUUGGGGAUGCUGGAGUAGGAAGUAUAAUGAAGGAAGCAGUGAUGAGUUCAUGUGGCGGACAGUGAGCUGCCCUCUGUCACUCUGCAAUUUGACCCCCACCUGCUGAAGCUCAGGAGUUUGGCUUCUUGAAGCCCUGGCUUGGAUAUUUUACAGUCAUUUGUCAAUUUAUGGCAUUUACAACUGCCUUGUGGUUCCAGAUGAGGGGCACCACAUAUCACAAAGGCUUGUUCUUCAUGAUCUAUUGAGCACCCAGUAAUUCAUGCACGUUAUUUAUACCACUCACUCAUUUCUCCUUCUUUCUCAUGAAGUCGUCCAUGCCAUUAACAUUAGCUAGCAGACAUCAAGCUGCCUAGUGGAUAAAAUGUUGUUUGACAAGGGCUCAGUGGCUAGGGAUGUAACUCAUAGUUUUUAUCAUAAAUUUCAACUCAAUUAUUUGUUUUCCCAGGUAAUCUAUCAGUGAAUAAUAUACCCACAUCACAGGACUUUGGCCUGUGAAUUUGGUCUGUUUUCCAGACCAGUAUUUUAGCAUGGGCAUGGGUGACAUUUGAGCACUUAAAAUAAAAUAAUGCAGCUACAUUCUCUCUGGCAUGGUGGAAUGAACAUGGAAUUGGGAAUAAGAGAGACCAGGUUUCUAGCCCCAACUCUGUACUUUACAACUGUGUCCACUAAAUGACAUUGGAAGGCCUAUUUGUUAAUCCUGUGAAGCUUCAUUUUUUAAAAAUCUGCAUUGGCUCUCCAAAAUGUGCCUGGAAGUUGCUGCAAUUCUCAGAAUGUCUGAGAAGCUCCCCAACAGUCUUAGUCUGCAGCCAUGAGGCAAAUAAUUCUCAGCAAUUUUCUAGGAAGCUGCUUUGAUACUCACAUGUGCAUGUUCAUCUGGCAGCCACCACCUCCAGAGAAUAAAGCUUCCGAUUUACUUCCACUUUCCAGACUCCACAGAUGUUCCUCUCCUUGGCAAAAUGUAGCCCAGAUCUAAAUGGAAGGUGAUUCUGAGACAUGUAGUUGGCAACCUUAGCAGGACAUGGUGGUGCCACCCGGUUGAUAACAGACAUCUCAGCCCACUUUCCACUACACAGGAGCCAAAUGAUCUUCUUUAAAUCCCAAAACAGAGUAUUUCACAACCAGGCUUCAAAUGACUCAGUGGCUUCCCAUUUCUCUUAGAAUAAAACCCAAAUUCAUCCGGAUGGCCUGAAAAGCUUGUCCAGCCGAUCUCUUCAAUUUCAUCUAAUUCUAGCUUUCCCUUUCAUCAUUAUGUACAGCCAAACUGACUUUUAUUCCUUUUUUUUAACAUGCCAAACAUUUUACCACCUCAAAAUUCUUAUAGUUACUGUUCCUUCUGUUUAGAAUAUCUUCCACCUUGAUUUUUCUUAUCCUUUUAUCUCAACACUCUAAAGAGUCCUCCCCCAGUUUCUUUUUGUCGCCCCUUUUGUUUUCUUCAGUGGAUUUAUUGCAAUCUGCUCUUUUUGUGUGUUUAGUUAUUAUCUGUCACACUCACUGGAAUAUAAGCUCAGUGAAAGCUGGUACUAUAUUUAUCAAUUGCCCCCCUAGUUCUCUGUCUUGGCUUAGUUACCAAUUUUCCUCUUGGAACAUAGAUCAUCAUAGGCUGAAUUUGCUGCUUCAAAUAAUCAGAGGGCAUCAGUUUUUUUAGUGCUCAAGAUCCUAUAGUUAUUGUACCAGCCUUAAUGAAAGUACAAAGGAGAUAAGGGCAAGACGUGCUCUUUGCAAUGCUUAAACAGUUUUAGUAUAUCUCAAGCAAAGAAUCCUAAUAAAUCCAAAAUUCGACAGCUUUUUACUGUUGGUGUUCUACAACCUCUCUUUCCUCUCACUACCUGGAAUAGUCAGAAAUCUCAUGUUAAUUUAUGAACCCUGAUGUCAUCAUCAGGACUGGACUGUGGACUGAAAGAAGAUAAAUACCAAUAAUAAUUACCAAAUGUUGGAUAACUAUCAUAUGCCAACAAUAUGAUAAAUUAUUUAUGAACCUCACAAUAUUGCAUGGAAAAUAAUUAUCUCACUUUUCCAAAUUAUUUUUGUAAUUUUUCUAAUUUUUAAAAUAAUUUUCUAAUAAUUUUUAAAAAUUAUUUUUAUAAAAAUUAAGAACUUGACCAAAGUCACAGAGGUUAUUUGAGGUUAAACUAGGGUUUAAAUCUUGGUCAGUUUGGUUCUAACGCCCAAAUUUACUUCCCUGUUUCUGCCGUAUUCUAGGUCUCUUUUGAUUUUAUAAUACGUUGUGUUCGUGAUAGCAUUAUUUAUCUCACCCUGUAUUCACACUCUUUGUCGUUUUACUCUGGGUUAAGCUGUAAGACUGCUGUUUAGACUGGCUUUGGCCAAUAGAAUGAGGUAGGAGUUCUAGAUCUGAGCCUGGUCCUCACAUGAGUAUGCUCACCCUCUUAUUUGUCUGCCUAGACUAGUUCUUUGGUUUAGGAGAGAAUGAGAGACACAUCAAUGCAGAGCCAUCCUCAACUAGACCCAGCCAUGCUUCUCCAACCCCCCAAAAGGCUAUACUCAUGUGAGAGCUCAUCCAAGUACAGCAGUACAGCCCAGUUGAGCCCAAACAAGAUCAAUGAAGCCUCAGGAAACCAAACACAGUCAAUAAGCCCAACCAAGGUCAGCAGAACAGUCUAGCUGAGCCCAGCCUGGAUAAGCCAAUUCCUAGCUGACUCAUACGCUCAAAAAAAUGAUAAAUGAUUGCCAUUUUAACCAUGGUAUGCCGGGGUUGUUUCUUUCACAGUAAUAACAAAUUGAUACAGACACUAAUUAGCUCUGCAAAUGUGCUUAAAAAUAAUGCUUACAACCAUUUAAUAAGACUUUAUGUAUGAGACACAGUGCAGAACACUUUACAUUCAUUAUCCCUUUAGAUCUUAUUCAAAACCUCUCUGAGGGUUUCACAGAUGAGAAAAAUUAGAUGAAUAGAAAUGAAAUAACUUAGUCAAGUUUACACAGCUUGUUUAAGUGGCAGAGUUGGAAUUUAAACCUAAGUCUAUCUGGCUCUGAAGUUGUUCUUUUUUUGUUUUACCAGGUUGACUUUAUUCAUAAUCUAGACUUCACAUAGAAAAUAAUCAGCUGUGUGAAUAUGACUGAGUUCUCUGGGUCCAUUUUCUUCAACUACAAACUAGAGGGAACUAAAUAUCUUUUUUUCUUCUUACCUUCUUUGGUUCUAUGUUCCUACAUACAAAAGUUAUUUGAGGGCAGUUGGAGUUAAAGCAUGUAUGCAGUUUGAUGAUAAUGAUGAUGACGAUGACAAUGACAACAUAUAUCACAGAGAUGAAAGCAUGGACAUACUUUUUCCAAGAAAGAGAACUAAGACAAUUGUUGCAAGUGAGUGUAAAAAUUAACUCUGAAAACUUAUAUGUAAAACAGAGGAAUAAAUCUGGGCCACAAAAUCUUCCUUUCUAAUGCAAUAAACAACAACAACAACAGCAACAAAAAAGUGUCAGCCAAGAAUAUCAAAUUUAUCAAAUAAGCAAGAAACUAGAUAUAACGUGGGGCUUCAAAGAGCGGAUUUCAAGAUCUCAGCAGAGGCACAUGCCUUUGUGCACUCUUCUGCCCUCUCUCCUAUCUCUAUAUGCAACACAUAUACAAAGGACAUCUCUCUCUAUAUAUCUAUAUCUCAUACACAUAAACUAUCAUAUAUGUGCCAUUAUAUGUAUAUAUAUUCACAUACAUAUUCCAUAUAAAAUAUGGAUUCAAUAAUUAAGAGUUAAAAUAUGACUAAAUAAGAGAAUAAUAUGAAAAAGGAGAUAGAUGACAAAAUAAUACCAUUGUAGAACUAAUAUGUAAAUUAGGAACAACAAGAAACAGAUGAGACAUAUCAGGAAAUUGAAAUUAGUUACAAAAGAAAGCUUCGUGGUAUCAUAGGAAUUGUCAAUAAAGGGCUCUUAAAAAAUAAAAAGUUCUUAGAGACUUGACAAUACAUAGUGUGGUUACAUCGAACAGAACUGCAGCCACCCAGGCAUAAAGGGAAAUUUGCUUAUAAGGAGGAAAAUCAAAUUUACCUCAAUGUUCUCUGUAGCACCAAUUAUGCCAGAAGACAAUUGAGCCAAGUUUGCAUAAUUCUAAAAGAAAAUUAAACACAGUGUAAAAGUAUAUCAAAUACAAAGUCACAGGGAGAUAUUCUUGAACAAGAGCCCUUCUUAGCAAAAAUAAUUGAUGAAAUCCUGUAAACCAAAAAGGCAUUGUGAAGAGAACUAGCAAAGUAGUAAAGAAAUAUGUGUAAGCAGUUCAGAAAUACUUUUGCUGCCAGUGCAAUUCCUUUAUCUUUUGAUAAGUUAGAAAAAGUAUUUUAAAUAAUAUGAAAUAUAGUCCAUAACAGAAAUAUUUUAAGGCAUACAGAUUAUAAGAUAGUUAUAUAAUUUUUAUUCUCAUGGCUAUAUUAAGAUAGAUAUCUUGAAUACUAUGUAAUGUUAAUUAUUAAUAUUUAUAGAGGUGGUUUUAGAUGAUUUUAUUAACUUGUUAUUUGUUGCUAUUUCUUGAUUUUUGAAAAUAUGUACAUGUAAAUAUAUAGUUAAUUCAUCAUUAUUAUAUUUAAAGAGCAGAAGAAAAAAAUUAGAUCUUAAUGUGCACAUGUACCCUAAAACUUAAAGUAUAAUAAUAAAAAAAAAUUAGAUCUUAACUUACUAUAAGUAAGCUAUAAGUAAGAGAUGGUAGAGAUGGAGAAAUAGAAAAAGCAAUAAAGAAAACUUUCUGUUAGUGUGGCAUGGUAAAAGGAGCGUUCUCCUUCUAUGAGCAUCUGUUACCUAGUAGAUAUUAGGAAAAUCUGAUUUUCCUCCUUAUAAGCAACUUUCUCUUUAUACCUGGGUGCCUAGCAGGUCUGUUGCAGGUAACCACACUAUUGCCAAGUCUCGAAGAAUUUCUCUCUUAUUAUUGAUCAUCACUAUGAUAUCACAAAGCUUUCUUUUGUAACUAAUUUCAACUGGGUCUCUUGCUUUACUCUCUAUAACUUAGUUCCAUCAUCUACAUGGGUGGGGAUAUGUUGUUACCUCAGAGUUGGCUGUAGUAAUGAAAUGAAACAAUGUAUGUGAUAAGGUCAAAACAAUUUUAUGAAUAUGUUCACUUCUCUUCUCUCCUUCCCCUGACAAGCAGGAGUGUUCUGAUUUUCCAAGACAAAUCUUGGAUUAAAGGAUAGUUAAUGGAGAAUACAGUGAAGAGAAAAUGGAAAAUAGCAGGGAGUACAGACCGCCCUUGGUAGUGGAAUUGGUUACAUGUGUUUCAUUUGUUUAGGAAAAAAUGUGUCCAAAUUACUGUCUGCAGUUGUAACCUCCCAGUUCCCAUUCAUGUGGUUCUAGGGUGGGGCUGAAAUCUGGACUUGGGAGGUGGCACAUAUCUGCUUGUCCACGGUGAUUCAGAAAUAAACAAGUGGCAUAAGUCAGAUGGAACAGAGAGAUUCCAGGGUCUUUGAAGGGCCUGAGGAAGACGAUCUUUCUCUUCUGAAUCUGAAUCUAAGACACUGAAGCCUGGAACCACUCACCUCUGCAUCUUGCCAAUCAAAGAGAGAAGCCUCCUGAGAGUGGAACCAACACAAAGCCAAUAUCAGGAGGAAACAAUUCAACCCAUUGGAUCCAGCAGGGCUCAACUUUGUGUUACUGAGCUAAUUAAUCCCCUUUUAUUUGCAAGAGGAAGAGUUGGUUUAGCUAUUUGCAAUGCAAAGAGUCCUAAUUGAACAGAUGGGAUUGUUUCUCUUUGUCUUUACAUUUGUUUGUGUAUUUGUUUUUGUUUGCUUGUUUAGUACAGGUAUGGAAGUAACUACAGUGUGUGAGACCACAGAUGAGAUAAAAAGAAUAUUGAGAAAUAUUUCUGGACACUAUUGGUUUCCAGCGUGGAACCUGCCUGAUGAACUUCAAGAAAUAUAAGCAGAUGACUAACAUUAUUUUAAAAUUAGCUUUAGUGGUAUGAAUUUUACUUUUUUCUCCACUUUUUAGUACUCUAGGACUAAGAGCCAUUGUUUGUGAUUUUAUUGCUAAAACAUUGAAAACACCAUUUUAAGGGCUUUGCUCAUACCAUUCUCUUAUUUGGGAAAGUCAUAACUCUUUCCCUGCCUUCCCUGCUGCACAAGCUCCCUUUGUUCAGACUAUGCUCCUACCCAGGCUCCAGUACCACUCAGUUCCAGCAUUUCCCCAUCCAUUAAUGCCAACCUUUAGUUCACCAAAUGGGCUCCCCUGCAUGUCCGUGGCAACCACUUCUUACGUCUCUCAAUACAUUUGCCACUUGGUGAUACAAUAGUCUCCCACUAGGCUAUAAGCUCUUUGAAGACAGGAAUUCACCACAUCAUAUUUCUGUUUUUAGUACUUAUCACAGACCUGGCCUAUGGUAGGUGCAUGGGAAAUCUUCUUUUAACCUCCUUUCUCCCCUCAAAUUCACUCUCCCUAUUUACCUAUGCUAUCUUGUUUAUUGAUGGCAUCACCUCUUGCCCUGUGGUUCACACUCAGGUUUGGCUAAUGGGAAGCAGGAGAUAAAAGGGAGAGAAAGUGAGGUUGAGAUGUUUUUCUGUUGACUUUUUCUACCAACCCACCGUGGGUUGGUAGAAACUCUCUACUUGAGGCUAAUAAUGUGAUGUAUCUAUCGCCCACCAGGUUACUUAAGGGGUGUAUGUCUGCUGCCUAAACCCUAAAGGCUGGGUGCUGAACCAAGGCCCUGGUGCCCAGUGGAGGAGCAGGUAUCCCUGAGAACCCAAACAUUUGGAGAGUGUCUAAGAAUCUACCAAGAAAACUAGUCUCAUUGCUCAAACACAGUAGACAAAGAGCGAGAAAAGUAGCUUAAAAACAGUUUAGAGACAGAAGUAGUGCAGAUCUCUAGAGCUGUCCUGCUGUAGUCCAGGAGUACCCUGUAUGUAAGUUUUAAUAAACUCAUCUACUUGUCAAGCUGGACUUGUCUGAGUCAUUCUUAGGUCUCUCAGCACCUUCCCAGUUUGGGGGUGGGGGACAUUACAGUCCCAAGUCUUUCUUGUAACAAUUGGUGUCAUGAAUAGGAUCCAAGGAACCAAACGAUGAGUCAGGAAGGAGUGUGUGCAUGGGAAAUCCGGGGUGGUUUGCAACAUGCACCAAGGGUGGAGUUGCCUGACUGCUCAACCUCUGUGGGCCACCACGUGAGUACAAAGAUGCUCAGAAAACUUUGGCAGGGACUGAGCACAUACUGUAAGAAGCUAAGAUAUUAAAGUAUGGUAAGGACAGCAAAUAUGCUGUUGUUGCAAUAAAACUGGCUCUCAAAAAUUGUUACAGCAGGAAAGGGAGAAAGGGUAGAAACUCCUGCGAAAGUUCAAAGGCAUGCCAGGUUUUCUAGAACUCCAGCUGGUUAUAUAUUAUGGCCUAUUCUUGUGCAAAUUUAAAAACUGAUGGGGCCAGGCAAGGUGGCUCACUCCUGUAAUCCCAGCACUUUGGGAGGCCGAGGCAGGCGGAUCACUUGAGGUCAGGAGUUGAGAACAGCCUCACCAACAUGGUGAAACCCCAUCUCUACUAAGAAUACAAAAAUUAGCUGGGUGUGGUGGCACACGCCUAUAGUCCCAGCUACUAGGGGGGAGGCUGAGGCAUGAGAAAUGCUUGAACUCGGUAGGUGGAGGUUGCAGUGAGCUGAGAUUGCGCCACUGCACUCCAGCCUGGUGACAGAGCAAGACUCCAUUUCAAAAACAAACAAAUAAACAAACAAACAAAAACUGAUGGAAAAUUAUGACAAAGAAUUUCAGAGCUCAAAUGGUUAAUCUGCAGCUACAGCAUUAAGGAGAGUCUUUUAAAUGUCUCUAUUUCUCUUUCCUCUUCUACCUGCUUUGAAUCUGCUGUUACUAAGCUACCAAUGUUGAGAUAAAACUCACUAAUUGAAAGAUACUUGGAGAUUUUGUUUUUCUUAUAUUGUUCAACCAGUUGUAGCUAAAAUGUAAACAGUAAAAGCUCAUUUGAAACUGAAAAGGGGGUAAAAGAGGUUUUUUAAAAAUAAAACUGUUAUAGAAACUGUUUACCCAAAGUUUUGGUCCACAACCUUCCUUGGAUUGCCUAUUAGGGAAAAGUUUAGCCAUGUGAAUAGGUCCCAGUUUUGUCAAAUAUAAUUUGGAUCCAGCUGUCUGUUGUAAAAUAAUGAGAUUUGAUGCUGUCUCAUGGAUAAAGUUCUGAAGUAAAGCUAUUGGAUCUUUGUGUGUGCUUAUACAUGUUUAAAUGUGUUUAUAUACAUGUACAUGUACAUGUAGUGUUAUAUAUUGUGUCCAGCAUGCUACCAAAUUGGCUCAUAAGGAAAUGAGUACUUAUAAAUGAAAUAAGUCUGAAUGCUUUUUAGGUCCACAUGAAUUUAAUAAUUGUUAAUAAAUAAGCUAGCUUUGAAAUUAUUGGUAAGAUAAAAAGAAAAAUGUCUUCAAAAGUGUCAGACACAUUUUUGCCUGGGUUUACUCAUUAGAUAAGUUUUCUAUUUGCUUCUGCUAGAUAUUUUAAGGUGUCAGGGUUUGACAUAAAGUUGGUAAGACCCUAAACCCAGCCCUAGCCUGAAUGAUCUUUGUGUGAUUUUUUAAUAAGCAAGACUAAUUUGAUAUUGUUGGUUUAAUAAAAAUAGCUACAUUGUCUGAGUUAUUGGCAAAACACAUGUCCACGUGUUUAGCUUUAAGGUUCUUGCUUAGAUGAAUAUCUAAUAUUUACAGUCUAUAAAAAUAAUUAAUAAAA
rnacentral:lncRNA from 10 species